UGCUGUUCUUUGGGACAGAAGGGCCUGAUCCCCAAUGUAUUUCUGAAUAAGAUAAAAAAAAAGGUCCUGUCUUCCUGAUCAGUUGUAAUCCCUGUGGCUUGAUCCAUGUUCCAAUCAGAAAAAAAUGAAAAGAAAACAAAUACAUCAGGAAAACAAAGAGAAAAGAAAACAACAGGAAUUCUGCAGAUGCUGGAAAUUCAAGCAACAUACAUCAAAGUUGCUGGUGAACGCAGCAGGCCAAGCAGCAUCUAUAGGAAGAGGCGCAGUCGACGUUUCAGGCCGAGACCCUUCGUCAGGACUAACUGAAGGAAGAGAAGUUCAGGAGACAGGGAACAGGUCUGUUGUCAAGGGAGAACAGCAAAGG